CGUUGCAGGCAUGCAGGCAGCCCGCAGCAGGGUACGAUUAUAGGUACUGAUUAAAUACGUUAUUUUUAUCAGGUUUCUCGUAAUUAUUCAGCAUCAGUCAACUAGCCAUCUAUCCUGAGAUUUUAAUCCCAACUUCUCAAUGAACCACAACACAUUUAAGACAAGCAGUAUAAGGAACUGAUGGAAUAAAUUAUUUAAUGACCAAGAAAUCAAACAAACAAACAAAAAUGCUUUAUUGUGCACCACAGAAAGAAGUACAAAAUAAGGAUACAAUAAUAAAUAAAAGAGCACAACAGUCUAUCUUAUUGCUCAGACAGUGAUCUCUUCCAGACCUGGCCUGAAAUCAUGUGAAUCUAAGAAUUAAUGACAAAUUGUAACUUGGAACAACGUGUGGUAUAAUGAUAAAACAAUGACCAACUUUCCAUUGAAACAAACAGAAAACAAUGGAUAUUUGGAAUGGACAUGUAACAGUCGACUGUGAGCUUCUCAAACACCAAUUUGUAAAAGAACAGCCGAGUAAUUUGCAAGUGAUUUCAAGAUUCAAAUAGAACCGGAAACAUUUACGUAUAAGGAACUGAUGGAAUAAAUUAUUUAAUGACCAAGAAAUCAAACAAACAAACAAAAAUGCUUUAUUGUGCACCACAGAAAGAAGUACAAAAUAAGGAUGCAAUAAUAAAUAAAAGAGCACAACAGUCUAUCUUAUUGCUCAGACAGUGAUCUCUUCCAGACCUGGCCUGAAAUCAUGUGAAUCUAAGAAUUAAUGACAAAUUGUAACUUGGAACAACGUGUGGUAUAAUGAUAAAACAAUGACCAACUUUCCAUUGAAACAAACAGAAAACAAUGGAUAUUUGGAAUGGACAUGUAACAGUCGACUGUGAGCUUCUCAAACACCAAUUUGUAAAAGAACAGCCGAGUAAUUUGCAAGUGAUUUCAAGAUUCAAAUAGAACCGGAAACAUUUACGGUUCACGGGUGUUGCGGACAACAUAAGUAAAGCGGGAACACAUUCGGAAAGGAGACGAGCGUAUUGUGCGCUAACGCUCGCUUGCCCACACCGGUAGUUUUUCUGUUAGGUUAUAAUUGUACAUGAGGCCUUGUUAAUUGUAUCGAGUUAUGAUCCCCCUCCCCCCCCUCCCCCUCCCCC